rnacentral:pre_miRNA from 1 species
UCUUGAUGGCAUGUGACUGAAUUGUGGAAGAGCUUAUAUGAUUCUACCCCUUUUCAGUUUUAUGCUGCUUUAGAG